rnacentral:sRNA from 1 species
GCUGGGCACAGUGGUUCAUGCCUGUAAUCCCAGCUACUUGGGAGGCUGAGGCAAGAGAAUUGCAAGUUCAAGGCCAGCCUCAGCAAUGUAGUGAGUCCCUAGGUAACUUAGUGAGACCCUGCCUCAA